GUUUAUUUGCAACCCAGAAUAUCUGCCAAUCCUUGCCAUUACAGCCUGGAUCUUGCCUAAUAUGGGCAGUUUUUGGUACUGUCCUGAUCUGCAGUGAGUGGGGAGUCCUGGCAUGUCUACUAAAUAGUGCUCAGCUAUAUUAUCUCACCUGACACCUGGAGUGGAAGCAGAACCUGAAAUCAGAGUGUAUCACUGAAUCUAACACUGGAUCUAUACAGUUUAUCACUGGAUUCCACACUGGAUCUGUAC